UACGUAGGGGGCUAGCGUUGUCCGGAAUCAUUGGGCGUAAAGAGCGUGUAGGCGGCCCGGUAAGUCCGCUGUGAAAGUCGGGGGCUCAACCCUCGAAUGCCGGUGGAUACUGUCGGGCUAGAGUGCGGAAGAGGCGAGUGGAAUUCCUGGUGUAGCGGUGAAAUGCGCAGAUAUCAGGAGGAACACCAAUGGCGAAGGCAGCUUGCUGGGACGGUACUGACGCUGAGGCGCGAAAGCGUGGGGAGCAAACAGG
rnacentral:rRNA from 1 species